UACAGAGGGUGCAAGCGUUAAUCGGAAUUACUGGGCGUAAAGCGUGCGUAGACGGUUAUGUAAGUCGGGUGUGAAAGCCCCGGGCUCAACCUGGGAAUGCCAUUCGAGACUGCAUAGCUAGGGUGCGGAAGAGGGAAGCGGAAUUUCCGGCGUAGCGGUGAAAUGCGUAGAUAUCGGAAGGAACACCAGUGGCGAAAGCGGCUUCCUGGUCCAGCACCGACGUUCAGGCACGAAAGCGUGGGGAGCAAACAGG
rnacentral:rRNA from 1 species